ensembl:lncRNA
GUCAGUUAGUAAGGGUCUUGGUCUUGAGUGUCAAAGGUCUUGGUCUUGGAUUUGAUGGUUAAGGAUCUUGGUCUUGUCUUGAUGUUGGUUGAUACGGGUCUUUGUCUUGUUUUGAUGUGGGCUGGUAAGGGACUUUUGUUGCUUUGGUGUAGGUUCAUAUGGCCAUUAGUCUUGUAUUGUUGGUUGGUAAGGACCUUUUCUUGUCUUGGUUGUUGUGGGUUUUGGUCUCAUUUUGUUGUCAGUUGGCAAGGGUCUUGUUUUGGUGUUGGUUAGUAUGGGCCUUGAUCUUGUUUUUGGUGUUAGUUGGUAAAGAUCUUGUCUUGUAUUGGUUGUUGAGGGUCUUGAUCUUGGUCUGGUGUAGGCUGGUAUGGGACUUGUUUUGGUGUCAGUUGGUAAGGUCAUUGGUCUUGUUUUGGUGUCAGGUGGUAUGGGUAUUGGUCUUGUUUUGGUGUCAGUUGGUAAGGGUAUUGGUCUUGUUUUGGUGUCAGUUGGUAAGGGUAUUGGUCUUGUUUUGGUGUCAGUUGGUAAGGGUAUUGGUCUUGUUUUGGUGUCAGUUGGUAUGGGUAUUGGUCUUGUUUUGGUGUCAGUUGGUAAGGGUAUUGGUCUUGUUUUGGUGUCAGUUGGUAUGGGUAUUGGUCUUGCUUUGGUGUCAGUUGGUAAGGGUAUUGGUCUUGUUUUGGUGUCAGUUGGUAUGGGUAUUGGUCUUGUUUUGGUGUCAGUUGGUAUGGGUAUUGGUCUUGCUUUGGUGUCAGUUGGUAAAGGUCUUGUUCUCAAAUUCAAAUUGUAUUGGUCACAUAGACAUACGACGUGCAGUAAAAUGCGUUGUACGACUGUCAGCGAUGGUCUUGACCAUUUAAGGUCUUGGGUCUUCUCCAUACUAAGAUGGUCAUGAUUACAACACUGCAAUGAAACCUGUCUUGAAGCCUUCUGGGUCUUGUUAUACACUGUUCUUCUUUUCAUCCAAUCCUAUAAUUAAAUUAUGUCCUCCACUCUCCUCUUCAUUUAUUCUCC